AAACCGCUUAGGGGUUAAACCUGAUGAACCUGAAUAUCUGAAUUGAGAAAUUCAAUAUUAUUUAGUAAUUUAUGUAAUUAUAAAUGAACAAUGGUAUGCACUUUUCUCAUAGUAAGACAUUGCGAUCCAUUAGUAUAUCUUUUAAUAGAUGGUUUAUCAUACGGCCUGUUUGGUUUGUUUAUUCUAUCUGUGAUGCAUUUGUGUCAUAUGAAUAAAACCGAUGCGGUGACCUGGUAAACAGCUGAUGGAGCUUAAAAAUCAUGCAACCAUGCAUAUGUAUCACAUUUUAUAUAUUUUUAAUAUGUAGAUGUAGUGAUAGCAUGUAUUUGAUUAGCAAUGCGAUAGAUUUGGGAUACCUUCAGGACCCGUCUUGAAACACGGACCAAGAAGUCUAACAUGUGUGUAAGUCAUUGGGUAUUUUUGUUAAAACCUAAAGGCGUAAUUAAAAUAACUAUUUUAAUGGGAUUACAAGCAAUUUAAUAUAUUGUUUCUCCAUCCCGGGGCGUUCUAUACGAACAUGGUUUAAGCAAUUAAACCCUCUGUUCAAGAGCGUACCUUGAACAUACAUGCUGU
rnacentral:rRNA from 1 species